rnacentral:lncRNA from 1 species
GCACUAUACUGACGUAUGAAAUUUGGGACAAUCUUUUUGAAGUCACAGUUCAUAAUGAAGACCAUCAAGUGCUUGUUAUAUGAUGAUCCAAAUUUUGAGGGGCAUGGAAAUCUUUCCAGUGGUAUAUUUAUGUUUCAACUAUAACAACCAUGUUAGCCUAUUAGUAGCAUUAUGAGAAAGGAAGUAAAGAUUUGUGGUUCAGGAUAGUAGAAGUUAAAGAAGAAUUUGUCAGUGAGCUUUUAAUGGUUUUUAUAUUUGUGGUUUAAUUUGAUUGAUUUUUUUAUCCCCUAAUUCUAAGCCAUCAUCUGUUAGAGAAUUUUUAAUGGUUUUUGAAAUUUUCUUUAAAUAUUUUAUUUGUCCAUAAUAUAUUGAAAUGUGUUUUAACUUAACUUUUUGUUAAUUUUUUGUUCAGGCACUGCUUGAGGCUAUAGGCGCUAGUGUCUACUUGGUCAGGAAACCGUUACAAAAUGUACAAGUAAUUCUUGUAACUAUAUGUAUGAAUAAGAGUUGUAUUUUUUUUAGUUCUGUUUAUAGAAUUAUCCUAUAAAGUU